UACGAAGGGGGCUAGCGUUGUUCGGAAUUACUGGGCGUAAAGCGCACGUAGGCGGAUAUUUAAGUCAGGGGUGAAAUCCCGGGACUCAACCCCGGAACUGCCUUUGAUACUGGGUAUCUCGAGUCCGAGAGAGGUGAGUGGAAUUCCGAGUGUAGAGGUGAAAUUCGUAGAUAUUCGGAGGAACACCAGUGGCGAAGGCGGCUCACUGGCUCGGUACUGACGCUGAGGUGCGAAAGCGUGGGGAGCAAACAGG
rnacentral:rRNA from 1 species